UUAUCGUGAACAUUAAUCAACAUGUCUGCAAGUGUGGCUAUAGGCUUUUUGAUGCCAAACGUAAAGCUCAGCCGGAAAGCCAGGCUCAGGCAAAUAUCAAGAGAUCAGAAAAAAAAAACAUAUACCUGUUGUACAUGAUGAGUUGCAUAAAAGUGUGCAAGAUUUACAACACCAAAAGAAAUUGAAGGAGAUUGAAGAGGAGAUAACAAGGCUUCGAGCAAUUUAUGAUUCCCAAAAUAACAACCCAAAAAGGCGGACAAUUAUGUACACUGGCACUUCGUCUAGAAAAAGCAGAGCUUUAGGCACACCAUCAAAUCCUUUCCCUUGCAGUCAUGAAGUAAUGAAGCCUCCAGUUUCUGUUGUAGACGUUAUACCCCAAAAUAUCAAUGGUAUGUUAUCUAAUUAUUUUAGAGAGAUACAAAUAUAAAUGCAUUGCCAUAGUAACCAAGGACUAAGUUGC
rnacentral:lncRNA from 1 species